rnacentral:rRNA from 1 species
GACGAACCGUCCAAACGUUAUUUGGAAUCACUGGGCUUAAAGGGUGCGUAGGCGGCCCUGAAAGUUGGGUGUGAAAUCCCUCGGCUCAACCGAGGAAUUGCGCCCAAAACUACAGGGCUCGAGGGAGACAGAGGUGAGCGGAACUUGCGGUGGAGCGGUGAAAUGCGUUGAUAUCGCAAGGAACACCAGUGGCGAAAGCGGCUCACUGGGUCUUUUCUGACGCUGAGGCACGAAAGCUAGGGGAGCGAAGAGG